rnacentral:lncRNA from 1 species
UUAUUUAUUCCUUAACACCAUCCUGACACUGCCUAUGAAUACUAUGAUGGCCACCUCUGUGCAGAGAGGCUUGGCUAUCUAUUUUCAUAAGAAUCAUAGUUGUGAUCCUCAGUUUUCACAAUGAACGUAUCAAUUCUAUCAUUUACUUUAUUCUAGUGAAUAAGCAGAAUUUCUAUUGAUCAGCAACAUAGAAUACCUGGAUUCCAAGCAUAUGUCUUCAAUUGACCUAAAUAAAACAAACAAGAGGCCAUUUCAUGACACAGGGAAUCUCCAUAGGAGCAUGACAGAAAGCCGUUUUUGGGGAACAAGUGAUGUUUGGUUACAUGAGUAAGUUCUUUAGUGGUGAUUUGUGAGAUUUGGUGUACCCAUUAUCUGAGCAGUAUACACCAAUUCUUUUUCUACAUAUAUACCCAUAAAAACUGAAAACUUUUGUUCAUACAACAACAUGUACAUGAAUGUUAAUAGUAGCAUUGUACAUAAAAAGCCAAAAAAUGGAAACAAAGCAAAUAUCUAUCAACUGAUGAAUCGAUAAACAAAUAUGGUAUAUCCAUACAAUGGAAUGUUAGUCUCCCACAUAAAGGAAUGAAGUACUGGUACAUGGAAUAACAUGAAUGAACCUUGAAAACAUUAUUUUAAGUGAAAAAAGCCAGAUUCAAAAGGCCAAAUAUUGUAUAAUUACAUUUACAUUAAGUGUUCAAAAUAGGCAAAUCCAUAGAGUCAUAGCUUAGUGGUUGCCAGGAGCUGGAAUAAGAAGGCAUAGGCAGUGAUUGCUAAUGGAUACAGGGUUUUUUAAGGUAAUGAAAAUGUUUGGAUUAGAUCUUGGUGACGCUCGAACAACUUUGUAUAUUCUGAAACCCAUUAAAUUGUACACUAUAAUGUGGUAACUUUUGAAGUAUGUGAAUUACCAUCUAAUUUUUUAAAAACUGGAACUGCAAAAUAUUGGCAAACAUACUAGAAAGACAUGGCUAAUUGAAAAAAGGAAGUAAAAAGUGAAAGAAUAUAUGAAAAUAACAAAAAUAGGAAAAAUUCAUGAUGUAAUCUCUUUUCUUAGAGAAAGGAGAUGAUAUAUAAUAAUGGGUAAAACAACAGAAAAAUAAAGCCCAUUGUAUUUUCAGUGCAUUUUUUUUCCAAUUAAAGUACCUACUUGAUAAGAUAUCCAUUUGUGUGUGUUUGGGUGUUGGCAAAACAUAAGACAUAAACAGCCAUCUUUUUUUGAAACCCAGAUAAUUCUAGACUUAAAAUCCACUGUUUUUUUAUAUUUUGACUGUGAUUACAAUUUUUGCAUUCUUUUUUUUAUGUAAAAUCUUUGAAAUCCAUUGGUAUUUUACAUUUUAGUACAUCUCAACUUGGAUGUAAAAUGUUUAUCAAAAAUAUUUGAUCUGUAUUUAGAUUUGUAAAAAUUACAGUUAAAAUAAUUUAAUAUAAAAGAG